rnacentral:rRNA from 1 species
UACGUAGGGGGCUAGCGUUGUCCGGAAUCAUUGGGCGUAAAGCGCGUGUAGGCGGUCCGGUAAGUCCGCUGUGAAAGUCGGGGGCUCAACCCUCGGAUGCCGGUGGAUACUGUCGGGCUUGAGUACGGAAGAGGCGAGUGGAAUUCCUGGUGUAGCGGUGAAAUGCGCAGAUAUCAGGAGGAACACCAAGUGCGAAGGCAGCUCGCUGGGACGUUACUGACGCUGAGACGCGAAAGCGUGGGGAGCGAACAGG